ACUGAGUUACCAGAUUCACGAGGCUGACUUUAUGCCCUUAUUUCACGCCUCAUUGAUGUUUGGAAGCCCACGUAUGAACCUAUUCGGCCAAUGAUCUAGGCCUAUCACUCUUUUGGAUAGACAUUAUUAUCUAAGACGCACCCCUGAUGAAGUCUAGUUCCUAGACGAAACGCGUUGGC